rnacentral:rRNA from 1 species
GGAUGAACGCUAGCGGCAGGCUUAAUACAUGCAAGUCGAACGGUAAGGUCUCUUCGGAGAUACACGAGUGGCGCACGGGUGCGUAACGCGUAUGCAACCUACCUUUAACUGGGAAAUAGCCCCGAGAAAUCGGGAUUAAUGUCCCAUAUUAUUCUUUGAAUGCAUAUUCGAAGAAUGAAAGCUCCGGCGGUUAUUGAUGGGCAUGCGUGACAUUAGCUAGUUGGUGAGGUAACGGCUCACCAAGGCUACGAUGUCUAGGGGUCCUGAGAGGGUUAACCCCCACACUGGUACUGAGACACGGACCAGACUCCUACGGGAGGCAGCAGUAAGGAAUAUUGGGCAAUGGACGCAAGUCUGACCCAGCCAUGCCGCGUGAAGGAUGAAUGUCCUAUGGAUUGUAAACUUCUUUUAUGCAGGAAAAAUAUCCCGGUCGUGAACCAGGAUUGAUGGUACUGUAUGAAUAAGCAUCGGCUAACUCCGUGCCAGCAGCCGCGGUAAUACGGAGGAUGCAAGCGUUAUCCGGAUUCAUUGGGUUUAAAGGGUGCGCAGGCGGAAUAAUAAGUCAGUGGUGAAAUCUCCCGGCUCAACCGGGAAACUGCCAUUGAUACUGUUAUUCUUGAGUACAGUUGAAGUGGGCGGAAUGUGUCAUGUAGCGGUGAAAUGCUUAGAUAUGACACAGAACACCGAUAGCGAAGGCAGCUCACUAAGCUGUAACUGACGCUCAUGCACGAAAGCGUGGGGAUCAAACAGGAUUAGAUACCCUGGUAGUCCACGCUGUAAACGAUGAUCACUCGUUGUUGGCGAUAUACUGUCAGCGACUGAGGGAAACCAUUAAGUGAUCCACCUGGGGAGUACGGCG